rnacentral:lncRNA from 1 species
CUCUCUCUCUCUCAUUUAAUUACUUUUCACUCGAUAGUUAAGAAAAACAGCUCUUGUAAGUUUUGAGAGAAGACCUUUUGCUUCAAGUUGGGUGAGAGGAUGUUUCUGGUGUUCAGAAAUUAUACCUAGUGAGAUAAUUCGUUUUACUUGAAGACUCUUUUGGCAUUUUUUUUUUUUUUUUUUCAUUUUAGUUUUUAUCUUUAUUUUUAUAGUAGAAUAUUGUGAACAAUCUUGUUAAGACUUUAAUUGCUCUAGAUUGUUAUUCUUUAUUCAGAGGAGCAGUAAAAUCUCUCCUGCACUUUGUUGUGAUAAAUAAUUUAUAUGCAUGUUGCUGUGUGAUGUAAUCGUUGUAAUUUAACUACGGUAGGUCCCUGUCUGGGACUUUUUUCACACGUUUUCCUUUUCGGUGGUAUGGGGCGCUAGCUGGAAACCGCAUUACUCUGGAUGAAUAUUUUGUUUUGUUUCAAAUUUAAGAUGUUUGAAUCACUCUGAAUUUCUCUGGGUUUUCCAAAGAAGUAUCACAUUUUUAGAUAAAGAAAGAAAGUUCGAGAGAGAGAGAGAGAGAGAGUCGAAUAGGGCUAGGGGCCAAUUCGGUAGUGAGAGCUACGCAACGUUGUUGUGGUCACAAAAAAAAAAGAGUCUGCAUUGUAUAUUUGUAUGUAAUGUAUUCUCUCCUCAAUCUCAAAGAGAUUCUUAAACUGAAUAACAAAGAUUUGAGCGGGGAUGGAAACCACUAAAUUUCUGUUUGCCAAAACCUAAAUGGUAUUUCCAAACAAGAACAUAUUGGAAACUCUCUAUCUUUUGAUUGUGGGAUUUAAUAGCAACAGUUUAAAAGUUUGAAUAAAAAUUACUAAAAAUUACUACAAAUUAAAGUUGAGGCCUCGGAGUUUUGAGGACCAAAAGUGUAAUUUACCCUUCUAGUUUUUUUUUUUAUUUUUUAUUCUUAGUUCUUUGUUUGGUACCUAAAGAGAUUUGAUGGUAUUUUUCAUAACGCAAAUGAAUCUUAUUCAAUUUCCAUGAUACGUAGUCAUAUUUGGCGAGAAUUUAUUUUCUAUUGAUGGUACUCAAUAGAUUAUUCCGAAAUACCACUUUAAAAUAGUUAUAUCUUCUUUGGCAUCGAAUAAAACAAAAAAUAAUCACAUGGACAUGAUUUUUUAAUCUUUCAUCAAAAUAACUAAAUAAAAUAGAAUUGAAUUUAAAUUUAUUCCAAACCGAAGAAUUUAUUGAGCAAAUUCAACUGAAUUCUUGUCAAGAUUUCUUUGAAUUCUAUCUCAGAUUUGGUGCUAAACUAAACAGUAUAAGAGAUAUUAAUGCAUGGAGGUAAUUGAAUCAGCAACUGUGGAGCAAGAUAAAUAGCACACAAAUUAUUGAGCAAUAUAAAUGCAAAAAAAAAAAACCAAUUGUUGUCUGGGCAGUGAUAAAGUUUCACCACAUUCUCUCACAGUAGCUUAAAGAUUGAUAAUCGAAAGUCGAAAGUAGAGCUAACAAAAUAGCAUAAGAAAUAUAACAGUACACUUACAUUUAUGUUCAAAUAAACUACCAUUAUUUCCAAUAUAUUUUUGUUGUCAAAAACACAGAAAAUUUAUUUCUAGCGCAAGUGGCAAAGGACUUAGUGGUUGGUAUCCAAGCUCUCGAGUUCGAAUCCUAAUUGAUUCACAUUUUCAGCUAAGUUUAUUUUUUAUUGAAAUAAGCGAAGCGGGUAGCAUGCUACCUAUCUCUCAAAAAAAAAACCACAGAAAUUUUGCAAGCAUAGGCUUAUUCUAGCUUUAUCUGCAUCCUCUAGAGUUUCUUAUAUAGAGUUUACAUACGUACAUGUUUAAAGAGGUCACUAUUUCUAUAUUUACAUUCGUAUUGCGAAUAACAAAUAAUCAAUCAUAGUUCCAUUGAUCAAAACAGAAAGAAAGAAGUCAAAUACCUGUUUGGCCAAGCUUUACCAUGUAACCAUUUGAAGCUUUUGCUGCGGCAAGAAGCUGAUUCAACUUUUAGCCAAAACUGAAACUUUAAUUUGAAACUACUACAGUUGACUAUUCAGAGGACCCUAACAAAGCAUCUAUUAUGGCUUCUUCGAGCAGGAGAGCUCUUGCUCCGUAAUCUUAAUUCUUAAUCAAAUCAUAAUCUCCCUAAGCAGGGAUCCGCUUUUAUCCCGCAACAUCAACAUCAAUAACUCACUCUGGAGUACCUGGCCAAAUUUCAGCAUCAUUGAGUUUCUAUUGUCGUAAGAAGAUGGAUGAGCUUUCUACUCAAAACUGAAGCUCUACUGGCGAAGCUUCUGCUGCAGAAACCUGUUCACAGGAUUCUAAUAAAUAGUUCAUUAUCGCCUUUUCAAAUAACUCUACUUAAAUAAUACUUUCUUCAAUGCACCCCCGAUAUGUUCUCCACCCUACUAAACCUACCACAUUCGUAUUGUGAUCUUCCUCUGCAACGUCUGCAACCUAUCCCGCAACCAUAACAAUUCCAUCGCAAACUCCUGAUUUACCCAUUAACCAUCUUAUUAAGCAUAAACCUCCUCGGCAACAAGCCCUCUCCACUGUCUCUCUCACCAUUUUCCCAACUACCACCAUGUCCUGCCACCUAUUCCUCACAAACAUUGCUCCAACAAUUAUCCCAUACAUAUCCCAGUUUAUUAACGUUCUUUCAACUAGCUUUACUCAACCAGUACUUUUUCUUUAAGCUCUCCAUCCUUGUAAACCAAUCGCAUUCGUAUACUCGUCUCUCCUCUCAAGCAUCUGCAACUAGCCUCUAACCACAAACAACUCACUCGCAUACUCCUGAUUGCUCAUCCCUAUCAAUAGAUUAAGUACUUUUUCAGACAUUUUCAGGUAGCUCUACUCAAUCAGUACUUCUACUAUAUGAACCUACACCCUAAUACACAACAUUUCAUUCAUAUCCUGAUCUCCCUUCGCAAACGUCCGCACUUAUCCUGCAACCGCAACAACUCCCUUGCAAAAUCCUGAUUCCCCGUAACCAACAAACCAUUAACCACCUUAUUAAACAUAAACCUCCGCGGCAAAAACCCUCUCUCCACCAUCUCCCUCACCAUUUUCCCAGCCACCACCAUGUCCUCCCCCCUCUUCCUCACAAACAUUGCACUUAUAAUUACAUUAUACGUAUCCAAAUUCGGCAAGCAAGCGCCUCUCACGCCCAUUUUAUCAAACAUCUCCAGCCCCUUCUCAAUCUCCCCCUCCUCGAAGUAGCACCGCAUGAUAAUAUUAUGCGUCUGCACAUUGGGCCCACACCCAUCGCGCCGCAUCUGGUCCACGAACCCCAGAGCCCGGUCGAACUCCGCCGCGUGGCAGAGCCCCCGUAUAAUAACAUUAUAGGUGGUCGAAUUCGGGGUGUAACCUCUACUGAGCAUUUCGUCGAACACCGCGAGGGCGUCGUCGACGGUGCCCUUUUUGCAUAUUACCUGGAUGAGCGCGUUGUACGCGGCAACGUUGGGGAGGACGCCUCGUUGCGGCAUUUCGUCGAGCACCUCUCGGGCCCUUCGGAGUUCGCCGCCGAGCCCCAAUCCGUGGAGCACGGUGGUGUAGGAGACCACGUCGGGGGCGCAAACCGGGUCCGUUUUGGAUCGCCGCUUCAUCUGGGCGAAGAAGUCGAGGGCUUGGCGGGUUUGGCCAGCGCGGAAGAGGCCGUGGAGGAGGAUGUUGUAGGUGGUCUUCGUGGGGAUGACCCCGGAGGCGACCAUGUCGCGGAGGAGGUCUAGGGCUUGGGAGGUGCGCUUGAGGCGGCACCAGCCCUCGGCGAGGAUGUUGUAGGUGGCGGCGUCGGGGGGGAAGCGGUGCUUUAGGGUUUUGAAGAGGGAGGUGGCCUUGUGGACGCGGCGGGACUUGGAGAGGGCGUCGAGGAGGGAGUUGAAGGUGCGGGGGGUGUGGAGGGAGGAGGGGGAGGAGAGGAAGAGGCGAACGGCGCGAUCGGGCUUACCGGAGAGGACGAGGCGCUCGGCAAGGAGGGAGAAGGUGCGGGGGGAGGGGGCGAGGCGGGGGGGGNGAAAAAUAAUAUAUUCUACAAAAUUGUUUAAAACUAUUUAAAACCUAAUUAUUUAUAGAGAUUAUGAGGAGGCGGCGGCGGAGGAGGAGGAGGGAGUGGACGCGGCGGCGGUCGCGGAGGCGCGCGGCGAGGUCGAGGGCGAGGUCGAAGGUGGAGGCGGAGGGAGCGAGGUCGCCAUGGCCAUGGCGACGGGGGAGGUGGAGGAGGGAGCGGAAGAAGAGGAGGGCGCGGGGGGCGUGGUCCCAGAGGCGCUUGAGGACGGCGUCGGCGAGGGAGGCGGGGAACGAGGGGGAGAGGUUCGAGAGCGCGAGGGCGAGGCGUCUAGUGUUAGGGUUUUGGGGGAGGAGGAGGGAGAUGGUGGAGUAGGAGGGGUUUUAUCGACUGGGAGGGGCAUUUCGUCGAACACGUAUACGGAGCGAGAAUGCGGGGAGAUAAACUCGGAGUGAGAGAGGGAGAGAUGGUGGAUUUGCAUGGACCCGGUCCAUCCUUACGUAUCCCGAGCACCGUUGCCUGAAUAACUUUCAUGCGGAAUUCAAAUUCAAAAUGAAACUUUAAAAUUAAAUAGCAAUAUACCAAUUCAUAUUUAAAUCAAAUUUCUAGAAUUAAAAAUUGAACGUAGUAUGAAAAUUAAUUUUGCAUUGUUAUCAAACUAAAAUUGAAAAUUUUAUUGUUAGUUCGAAUCCACUGUAAAAAUUUACAAGUUGCAUAAAAUUUGAAUUUAAAUCUAAGCACAAGUUGAACCUAAAAAGUACAUUGUAAUUUGAAUUCAAAAUUUAAAUUUAUAGAUCAAAUUCAAGUGUGACUGCAUUUAAAAUUUAGUUUAGGUUUAAAUUAAAAUAUUUAUUCAAUAUCAAAUUAAAAAAUAAACUUAUAUUUUACUUUAGAAAUAAAGCUAAAUUAAAAAUUAGAUGUACAAUACAAAAUAUAAUAAGUUUGGAUAUUUUCCGAGUCUAAUUUCUUUCGAAUAUAAUAUUUUUCAAUUCGACCUUCUAAGCUGGAUUGGAAAUUAGAAAAAGCGUGAAAGAGGAAUUAAAUUCUCAUUCUAUUAGAAAAUAAGAGACGUAACGAGAUUCUUACGUACCAAACACUAAUAUUCAUCUAUUUCAAUUUUCAUUACAGAGUAAGAAAAAGUCAAAAAAAUAACUUUAAUUCUAAGAAAUUCAUUGAAUGCCAAAAUUAUUGAACAAGUUUUGACCAAUAAUUACGCUAAUAGAAUUAGUUCACACAACUUAGCAAAUGACAUGUGAUUGAGAGUACAAAAUAAGUUGAGAAAAAUGAAUUAAUGCAUGCUAUCCUUGUUGUCAUCAAAGAGUCAAAAACACACAGAAACAUUUGCUCUGUUACAUUACUCCAGUCUCAAGAAAUCAAAUGUAUAUAAUAUUUUUUACACACGUAUACAAAUUCACACCUAUAAUAAUUAGAAAAUAAAGAACAUGCUGCACUAUGGCUAGCUUAUUUCUCAAAAGCAUAUCAAGAUCUCGGCAAACAUACGUACAUAUAGACACACGCAAUCAAGCACACAUGCAUGUGCGUACACACAAAUACAUAAUUCAAUAUUUAGAGAGAGAGAGAGAGAGAGAGAGAGAGAGAGAGAGGGUUUACCUAGCAUAUGGACAUCGGAGCAGAGUUGUUUUUUUGAGAAAGAGGUAGCGAGCUAUCUGGUUCAUUCAUCAAGCAAAAUGAACUAAGCGUACAUGAUGGAAGCAGCUAUGGCCUCCUAAGGAACAGUAAAAAGGAGAAAAUGAACAAAAAAGGAAAAAUAAAAAAAUACAAAAAUAAGAGAACAAAUAGAGAAAUACAAAAGUGAGAGAACAGGAAGAGAAAGGAAGGGAUCACAGGUCGUUUCCGACGAUCAUCAAGGUAAGAACGUCCAGUCGUUUGUCAAGGUAUGGACGCGCUCAAGAGCUCUAGUAGCAUUGGGGCGGUACUCGCGGAAGAUAGUGUUGUUGCGUUCCGUCCAAAUGACCCACCAGGUUGCUGCCAAAAUGGUUAGACAUCUUAUUCUCCUCGUUGCGUCGGGGAUGCUAGAAGUAUUUGCCCAAAGACUUCGCACAUCACUCUGUCCCGAGUCAGUUGGGUCUAAGCUUCCAUCACAGAAAAAGAGGUAUCUGACGAAUACACAGUUGCAGAAGAGAUGGUCACAACUUUCUGAGAAUGUAGUGCAGAAAACGCAAUGCUGGUCCACGGGGCAGCCUUGGCAAAUCAGUCUGUUGGUAAUAAGUAGUCUUUUGCGGAGCAGGAUCCAAAUGAAGAUUUUGAUUUUGACCGGAGUUCGUAAACCCCAUAAGUGUACAUACGUCGUGUCUCUCUCUCCUGCGUCGGUAAUGAAGUUAUACAUCGGAGCAGGGUUGUGCUUCAUAAAUAUGUAGCUUUCAUACGCUUCCUAUAAUAAGGACAAUGUUUUGGGUUGAAGAGAGAAGAGUGGUGGUUGGAUUCUAACCCAUCCCACCAAUUAUUCUCGCAGCAAAUCUUCACAGCUCUCAUUGAACAAGCGUCGGACCGGCCGAAAAGAGGAAGUUUUUUCAGAUUGAAACACCCUAUAAUCUUGAUCUCUUCCAGCGACGGAGCAUAAAUGUUUAGCUCGUAUAUGUGCUGUAGCUUCAGAAGCUCCUGCAGAUGGAUGGACCUCAGUUUCGGAAGUCGAUUUGGACCAGCUUCUUUUUCAUCUUCAUUAUUAUCAUCAUCAGAUUUGAAAAUUGCCGUUAAAUCGCCGCAAUAACUAAUGUUUAUUGUUUCUAUUAGAUGUGACUCGAAAUCUACUAUCGAUUCAGGUUCGGAUUUACGACUCGCCGACAGCUUCGCGGUGCGACCAAUUUGGAAAAGAAAAUUAUGGAGGAAAAAUGAAUGUCUGUGGUGGGUAGUGGAGGGCUCGGGCCGACAAUAUUUGUUGGAUAUAUUAUUAUUAUUGGAUAUUUUGUUAUAAUAUAAUCCAAAUAAUAUGUUCACAUACAAGUCCAAUAAGUGAAAGCGUAUUAAGACCCAUAUCUCUGGAGCCCAAUAGCUUAUUUAUUAAAAUCUAGGGUUUCCUACGCUGGAGGUAACACUAUUGAGCGUUCCAAACUUGACGUCUCUUGGUGUAAUACUUUAAGCACCUAAAAACCCUAACCUCCAACAAUAUUGACCCAAUUUUAACUAAACUCAGAUUAUUCACUCAGCUUAUAUAUAUAUAUAUAUAUAUAAUAGUGUAAAGACUCUAUAAUCUAUCGAAAAAUUAUAUGAGGAUUUAAUUUUUUUAAUUUUUGCUUUUGAUAAAAAUUGUAAUGUUGUACGAUAUGCGGUCUUACCAUAUAAUUUAUAUAUACUCUUUAGGAAUUGGUGUUACAAAGAAUAAUAAAAAUAUUAUCAAGAUAUAAAAACAUAAUAGGGAUUGAUCUAAAAUAAAAAUAAAGCAUCUACUAUAUAUAUAUAGUAUAAUAUAUAUUAUAGUAUUAUAUAUAUAUAUAUACUAUAUAUAUAUGAUGAUCGUCUUAUUCGAGCUUUUCUAUCCUAUAAUAAACUCAAGCUCGAUCGAAAUGAAUUAUUCGAGCCCUUUUUUUUAUUCAAACUGGCUGAUUUAAUUUGAGUCGAGCGUCGAGGCAGAUGACCAAAUAUUCAGUAGUCGAAUGCGAGCACGGAUUGCUCAUUUUGCCAGUCUAAGAUAAGAUAAAUAAUAAAUUACUUCCAAAAUAAGUUACAGAUUAGAGUAAUCCUCCUCUCUCUUUCUUCUCUCACAGUCUCUCAUUAUUUCUAAUAUAUAAUAUAAGUAUAUAGAGUGAGGCUACUGAUACUAUGGGAAGCACUGAGCUUCUUGUAGCUUCAGCUCGGUUUCGAUGUUGCAACUUUCGAAAUCGUCGAUCGUUCUGCGUUAAACUUGAUCUAGUAGUCAUUGAUAUACUAGAAAAUAAUUUUAUAUUUUCGAUAUUAAUUUCAUGCUAGUGACUACGAAUGGGCAUCAAAAAUCAACAAAUUUAAUUGGCCGUGAUUAAAACUAUUUCAGUUUAACGAUGUAAACAUAUCCCAAUCACGUAAAUUUUGAUAGAAUAAUUUUUUAUAUUAUAUAAAAAGAUCAUAUCUUUGAUUUAAAAUUUUAAUGUCAUAGUAUAUACAUUUAUAAGCUUUUUAUUUUACGUUGAUUUGAGCCCUCAUUCCUAGGAUAAUUGAUAAUCGGUAAAUUAAAUUAAUUUCUAGGUACUGUCGAAUACUCUUAGGAUAAGUUUAAGAAACGGAACCGUGAGAUUUCGACAGUCGAAAACAAUCGAAAAACCUGAAUCCUGGAAUCACGGAAGAGCUCGUGCUUUCCGAUAGCAUAGUACUCUCUAUAUAUAUUUAUAUAUAUGUGGAGAGAGAGAAAAAGAGUGCAUUUGGCGUUUUUUUUUUUUCUUCUUUUUAACAAUUUUUGUGUUGCGAUAAAUUUUAUAUAUAUAUAUAUAUUUUUUUUUUGGCUCCGACACCAACACGGAGAUCGAGAAAGCGGAGAAUUCCCGCGUCCGACCUGGUCGCUGUCGUUACUUCGCGCACUGACACCUACGAAAUUACUUAAAUGCCCUUACGAAACUAGAUAGAGAGCAGCGAAAGCAGAGGGUAUUUUCGUCAUUUUAGCGUAGAGGUAUUAACAAAAACUUAAGAAAAAGAAAAAAAAAGAAAAAAUAUAUAAAAAGAAUAAAAACUAGAAGAGGUGGUUUUGGCAGAGGUGUACUGGGACAGGAAAAAAAAAAAGAAAAGAAAUUAGUUGGAAAAAAUUGUUCUUUUAUAACAUUUAUGUCAUAUAGAAGGGUAUAUAUAACAUGAGAUAAUAAAAAUAUUUAUUAAAAGCAAUAUAUAACUUUUAUAUUAAAAUAAUAUUAAAAAAUUAUUUAUAUAUAUAAAUCUUAUACUCAAUGAUAUUUUAAAUAAUAACUAGGGGUGUAGUAUCCUCAUAUAUAUAUAUAUAUAUAUAUAUNUAUAUAUAUAUAUAUAGUGUAGAACUACUAUACUAUCGAAAAUAUAGAGGAUUUAAUGUUUUUUAAUUUUUGACUUUUUGAUUAAAAAUUGUAUGGUUGGGACGAUUGCGGUCUUCCAUUAGAUUUAAUAAUACUCUUAGGAUUGAGUGGUCCCUACAAGAUAAUAAAAAUAUUAAUCCAAAGAUAAAAAACGAUUAAAGGGAUUGAUCUAAAAAUUAAAAAAUCGAAAGCAGCUCUACUAUAUAUAUAUAUAUAUAUAUAUAUUCGAUCUUUUCGAGCUUUUCGAGCCUAGUAAUACUCAAGCUCGACUCGAAAUGAAUUUCGAGCCCUUUUUUUUAUUCAAGCUCGGCUUAUUUAAUUUCGAGUCGAGCUCGAGCGAGCCAAAUAUCGAGUCGAAUGCGAGCCGGCUUGCUCAUUUGCCAGCUCUAAGAUAAAGAUAAAUAAAUAAAAUUACCAAAAUAGUACCAGAAUAAGUAAUCCUCUCUCUCUUCUCUCUCUCUCUCUCUCUCUCUCUCUAUAUAUAUAUAUAUAUAUAGAGUGAGGCUACUAUGCUUCUGGAAGCACGGAAUCGAUGUUGCGACUUUUGAAUCGUCGAUCGGUUCCGUUAAACUUGAUCUAGAGUAUUUGAAGUACUUAGAAAAUAAAUUUUAUGAUUUUUCGAUAUCAUUUGCCUAGUGAUCGAAUGAACUAUAUAUAUAUAUAGAGUGAGGCUAGUAUGCUUCUGGAAGCACGGAGCCUUCCGUGCUUCCAGGUCGUUUUUGAUAUUGUGACUUUCGAAUCGUCGAUCGGCUCCGUUAAACUCGAUCUAAAGUAUUCGAAUUACCUAGAAAAUAAAUUUUGUAAUUUUUCGAUAUCAUUUGCCUAGUGAACAAAGGGGCUCAAAAUCAAUGGCUGAAAAUAAAAAUCUCACAAAACGUGAUAAUAUGACAUUAAAAUUUUAGAUCAAAGAUAUUGAUCUUGUUUUAUAUAGUAUAAAGAAUUUUCUAUCAAAAUUUCAGGUGAUUUGGAUAUUUCUACACCGUUAAACUUGCAAACGGCUCACCACGGCCAUUAAAAUUAUUGAUUUUGAGUCCUUCGAUCACUAGGCAAAUGAUAUUGAAAAAUCAUAAAAUUUAUUUUCUAAGUAUUUCAAAUACUCUAGAUCAAGUUUAACGCAGCCGAUCGAAAAUUCGAAAGUUGCAACAUCGAAAAUGACCUGGAAGAAUGGAAGGCUCCGUGCUUCCAGAAGCAUAGUAGCCUCUCUCUCUCUCUCUCUCUCUCUCUCUCUCUCUCUCUCUCUCUCUCUCUAUAUAUAUAUAUAUANNNNNNNNNNNNNNNNNNNNNNNNNGCCCGGAGCUCCCCCAGGGCUGUUCCUGUGGCGUCGGCCGCCGCUUCUUCUCCCUGGCGCCGCGCAAUGACUGAUUGCAGGCUGACACACGCCCAAGCCACCGCCGCCGCCCUUCGCCGCCGGCCAGCUGUGAGCACGGCUCCGCCUGGGCCGGCCACACCCGGUCCGCCUGGCGCGGCCUCCCUUGUCGCCGGAUGCAUCCUGUUUGGCCGGUUCUGGGCCGAACGUCCCUCGGGCUUAGGUGCCUAGGGCAUCGUCGCCGUCGACGUCGGCCGCCUCCGUCGCCUGCGACUGCGGAAGCACGACCCCUUUGACUGCCUUGCACUGCCCUAAGCCGGCCUUCCGCCGUCGGCCCGGCGGGCCCCCCCGAGCCGUCUAGCUUCAAGAGUAAGUAGCAUUGCAUUAUAUUGUGCAUGUUUGGGUUGUGUAACCGGUGUUCCGGCCAACGAGCGCAGUUCCGAUGCCUCGGAAGUGAGCACCGCAGUGUAUCUUUAGUCAGUGCUUGAUCACAGAUGGCUCACCUCCACGGUCAACGAGCGCCUCGAUUGGUGUCAUUUUGAAGUGUUUUUUUCAGUUUGGCAGCGCACAUGUUCUUUGCUGAAUGUCGGUCGCUUGUGCUCUGCACGCGCGUGGCAGCUGCUCCGAAAAGGUGAGCACGGCCUUUCGGCACGCCGAGACCUGUCAGCAGCUGUUGUCUCGGUUUGGCUGAAUGGAUUUCUAGUUUGUUAGACGGACAAUAAAAGCCGCCGAACAUCGCAUGAAAAUAAUGCGAUUUCGGGUAAUCGGGGAGGGCUUUUAUGUUAUUUUUGGUGUGGUGUUGUGGCUGCUGUUGGGCAGCAUGGUUGUGAGCAGUGGUGAACCUUUGGACUGAUUGUCCAAGGGCCCGGACCUUUCCGAAGAUCGUUAAAUUGCAUUUUCGCUGAUCUAGCGUUUGUCGGCAAAAUCCGCCGACGGAACGCGGUUUUUCGGUUGAAUUUAUUCAGACGGGUGCUUCGUGCAGCUUUUGUGUUAGUCGCUGCAGCCUUGUUGGCGGUCACUCGCUCAUUUCGACAGUUCAAGAAUGCAGUCGUUGAGCGACGGUGUGGUUCCGGCUGCGAAACUAGACACAUCGGGAAACCCGGGAUCACAACAAUUAUUCCACAAUAGUUGUUUGGUUUGUGUUAUCCUCAUGUGUUUUGCUGCCAUGUCACACUAAAAUAAGUUGGUUUUUAGUCGGCAAUGCGUAAUGAUCGUGGGCAUGAGUCGGAUGCUUCCCGGAUAGUUUAGUGGUCCCGCGGCGAGCCCGCGUCCCGGGAUGCGAUUUUCGGGACUUCCGGGCGAGCUUAUGUAAUCGGUAUUGGAAGUUUCGAUUUCUGGGAGUUGGUUGUGGGUUAUCUUUUAGGGGUUUCUUAGCUGUUGGGUUAGACACUAACCCAGGUGGACCUCCUUAGGUCCGGUUGACAUUUUUUGCAGUCAGGAGACAGGCGCGAAGUGUCAGGUGCGGUACUUCGAUCCGCGUUGGCUACAGUUGGUGCACGCUAGAGUGAUGUUCCUUACCUUGCUCUUUUCUUAUUAUCCAGUGCAUAUAUUAUUGAUGUUGAGCCUUUACACCUCUAUCGUUUACAUUACGACCCACGUGUUUGAUUAUACUCUACGUCACGUUUCAUAUGCUUAGUAUCAUGUGUAGGAACGUAUAAUCUAUCUGUAUGUGAACCAUGUUAUCUUGUUGCUUUUACUUACGCUAUUCUGCCAUACCCUGUUUCUAAUUUUUAGUAGAAGCGAUUCUUGUAUUAUCUGGAGAAUUGUGUGAUCUAGUCGGUCGAUUCUUAGUAUUCAGGUAUUGUGAACCUAUUCGGUGAGUUUCCUUAUCGACCUUUGUUGUCUGAUGAGAACACCGUUGAGGUCGGGUAUACCCUGAGCGGGUGAGAUUGUCGGUUAGUUGCCGACGGAUGAUUGAUACUUUACUCUAUCAUAUACUUGUGGACGUGAUUUGUCGGUCGAGUUUCAUAUCCUAUACUUGUGACAUGAUUGGUUGAGUUUCUUACCUCCUUGCUACUUGUGAUGCCGAUUGGUUGAGAUUUCAUAUCUAGUGAGUCUGAGUGGUCAGUCCUUGAUGGUUCAUUGAGCCGUAUUGCACGAUGUUUGAGAGGAUGUCGAUAUUGUCCCAUCCUAGUUGACCUGAGUGGCGGUUCUUGUGUGCUCUUUACAGUUGACGACCUAUUGCGGUCGAUGGGCCCUGGCUGGGUGGUAGGCUAUUGUGCGGCUGGUUGCCGACGGUGGUUGAUCAUUGAGCAUAUUGUAUUUGAUCGCCCGAUUACUUCGUCGCAUUUCACGGAACACUGGGCGAUCUGAUCACCGCAAGGUGUAGUGUUCUUUUCGGAAAAAGUGGUUGAAUGGGUGAACAACCCGUGAGCCCUAGAGCGCUUAUAUGCACUGUGAGAUAGUAGUGAUUGGCUUGAGGUCUGCGGUGCUGACCAAGAGAGCAUUGGUUUCAGAUUGGGUACUUUUGGACUUCUUGAUCGGUUGAUGCAUAUGUCUAUAGUAGCAGUCAUUGCAUGCAUACUUACAGUUCUUACUUUAUAGUUGUCUUGCUGCUAUAGUAGAUAUUCAUGUAUGCUUUCGGUUCCAGUUACAGUAGCGGUAGCCGUUAUUCAGUCUAGUUCUUACUUUCUUUCAGUUUAUUGCUACUGUAUUCGGUAUAUCUGCUCUUUACCUUAUUAUUGUUGCUACUAUAUUUCCACUGACCCUUGUUGUUAUUUAGCUCUUCCUGAUCCGGUGAGUACUCCUCGCCUUCAUCGGCUUGCGGUACCCACUGGGAGGGGAGACAUGUUUACAUGUUCUCACCUCCCCCACCAUUUUUCAGGUAUCGCGGGCGAUGAAUAAUGGGACGAGACGUGAGGUACGUGUGUAGCGUUCGAUAGAGCUUCCAACCCAGGUUAUUUCGACUUAGUUAUUACCCUUAUUAUUUCUGUUGAUUUAUAGCUUAGUCGGUUUACAUGGUUCAGUUUUGUGUUAUUAUCUGAAUAUCUGAGUUUUCAGUUGGUUUUGGAAUGUAAUAAAGGAUUUGUGUUUUCUUGAAAUAAAAGGUUUUCUACCUCUCGUGGCAGCGUUUUUUUUUAAGGAACAAAGGUUUCCGUGUAGGAAACAAUUUUCAAAAGGUUUUCUGUGGAUUUUGCAUAUUAGUAUUUCAAAACCUGUUUCUGUGGUUGGAAACAUUUUAACUGAUAGAUGUGAAUUUAUGUUUAAAUAUUGAAUGUAUAAAUGUGAACCUGUGAUGUGAAUGGUGCAUGAAUAUAUAAUCGUUGGUUAUUUGUAUAUUCAUUUGGUUGUGGUUGUACCUGGGUUACUUCUUGUACUUGUGUGACGCCGUGCAAAUACAGGGGAGACUCUGUCCGUGUGAACAGUGGAUUUCCUGUGUUUGUGGCGGAUCUGGCAUACUCUGGGGUCAGGUUUUUAAAAAAAAAAAAAAAAAAAAAAAAAUUCAGACGCUUUUCCGCUAUGUUUUAAACUAAAAGGGACCCCGGGGCGUGACAAGUUAAGUUCUUUCUAAUUCCAUUGUCUUAGUUUUCGUCAUCGAUGAUCAUCUUUUUUUUCCGAAGGCGAGAAAACUUUGACUCGGUAAUAUUCAUCACUAAAGCUUCUUCAUCGUCUUCAAGAAUUUUUCGCUGAAUAUAAUUUUGAGAAAAAUUCUGACUUCUUGUUGAUUUAGUUUCUUCAUUAUCUUUAAGAAUAUUAUGUUGAAUAUGACUUUGAGGGAAAUUCUUGUUUCCGAUUGAUUCAUCUUCUUAUCCAUCAAGUUCCUCAAUUGAUAUGCCUGUGUAGUUGUAAGUAAUUACCUCACCUUUUUUGGCCUCUGCAACUUUAAUAUAUAGUUAGUAAGUAUGAUUUUUUCAAGCAACUUUCUAAUUUCCUCACAAAUUGGUCAAUAUUAUAUUCCUGCAAAAUUGAAUGACAAAUAAUAAGUAAAUUUAUUAAAUUAUUUUUUGUAUUAUUAUAAUACACGUGGUACCUUUAAUUGCCGAAGUUCAUUAACGUUGCAAUUCAACAAUUGCCCCACUUCCUUUUGAAACAUUGAUACCCAAAGCUCGCCAGUAUCAUCAGCAACUUUUAGACGAAACAUAAACAUGUAAAAACUUAACAAGCACUUAGAUUUUUAUUUAACUUUAACAUAUAAGAAAAUAAUAUUGCUAAUAUUACUUAUAUUCAAUAUCAGUAUCUGAAUUGGGACAGAAUUUGCACUGUUAAACACCACUAAUUUCUAUAAUUUUCUUGUAGAAUCCCUUACAAGCCAUGUACCAAGGAUCUUGCUUUUUGUUUAACUCCACCACUUGUAUUUUUAACUCUCAUAACUGGAAAUAAUAUAUCAUCAAAAUUUAAUUUUUUGGUAUACAAAUAAAAGAACAAUAUACCUGUUUAGAUGCAUUAACAAGAUCUCCAGUAAUCUCCUUAAUAGUAGCUCUUUCAUUUUUCAUAUAUAUAUAUAUAUAUAUAUAUAAUUGAUAUUUGUUUAUAUAAACCACCCAAAAGGAGUGGGGGAGGAUGGUUCCCAUAGAAUCAUUAAAUAAUAAUCAACUUAUAAUUUUUAUUUAAAUAUAUUAAUUUAAUAUUUAUUAAUACAUUUUAAAAUUUUGAAUUAUAUUAAUCUACUUGUGGGAUGAUAGUCGUUCUUAAUUUUAAAGAAUAAUCCGGAGUUUUGAAAAAAUUUUUUAAAUGUCAUAUUAUUUUAAAAAGUUUUAAAAAUUCUUUUUCAUAAUGAAAAAGAGAAAGGUAUUGUUUUAAGUAAAUAAGCGUUUUAAAGUUUUUAAAUAUCAGUUGAUUAAUAAUAGAUCUAUAAUUAAUAUUACAAUAUAUUAAUUGAAUAUUUAUUGAUAUUACAACUUUUAAUAAAAUUUAAUCUCGUUAAGAAUAAAAAUUAAAUUUAAGAGAUAUAGUAAAAUUUUUUAUAAAUUUUAAAAUUUUUUAUGAUUUGAAGUUAAUCACAGAAUUAAUAUAUUGGAAGUUAAUGUGAAAACAUGGUUGUUUUAAAAUUUAAUUUUACUGUUUAAUACUACUACUUCCACUUUUUUUAUGUCACGUCGUCUUAAUUAAAUACUUUUGAUAAUUUUGUUUCAAAUUUAUACGUUUUAGUAUUUUAUCUAUUAUAAUAAACAACUUAACAAACUUCAAGAGAAAAAGGUUGGUUUUUACGUAAAUAAAUCUUUUAUUUUUUAUAAUUCAGUGGAUUAAUAAUAGAUCUAUAAGUAAUAUUACAACAUAUUAAUUUAAUAUUUAUUGUUAUUACAUCUUUCGUUAAAAAAAAAUAAAACAUCCAAGCAUAAACUAAGCAUCAAAAUCAACUAAACUGAUUGGAUUUGAGAAAAGAGGUUAUUUGUUUCUUUGUUAGGGUUUGUCUGGAAACCUUAAGGGUUUUUUUUUUUCUGAAAACUUUAAAAGUUUUAACGAAGCAAAAGAUACGUACUGAAAACCCACUGGUACGACACAACUUUUGUUUUUCUGUUAUUAAAUAAUAGUAUCUCGAGAGUUGUGAUAUUUAUGUACCAAGAAUUUCAGAAUUCCCUAUUAAAACCUAUAGAAAAUUACGCAACGUGAAGAUUGUCUAGUGGUAGAAGACAGUUUGUUAGAACACUCUUUUAAAUUGUUGACACCUUCCACUGUAAUAGUUCUUCCACUAAGUUCUAUCCGGAUAAAAUUAACGUUGAAGGGACUUACAUGUUCAUGAAGUUUCCAUUUUUUAAAAUAUAUUAGUUUAUACACGAAGACUAUAGUAUAAAACGUUAGUAUUAUAAAUUCAAAACUUAAAAAAGAGAUUAGUAGUCCGUAAAGUGAAAGAUGUUGUAGUUUAUGUUACGAGCUUUAAUUAGGUAGUUGUUUCCUUCGUUUCCUAAAUUCUCUUACCAUUUAUAUUUGCGUUAUAUACUUAUUAAUUGUACAUAUAAUCAAUGAUAAAUGAAGAAACUUACAUAUAACAUCCUAAAGUUUUUCGAAUAAACUGUGAUUACUUUACUUGUUUUAUGUUUUAUACUGCUUAUGCCGGUUUUANGAUGAUGUGGGCCUCCUAGGGUUGGGUGGGUGGUUGGUUUAAUAGUAUGAUCUAACGGAUGAAAAUGAUCAAAGAUGUAGAUCUAACGGUAAAAAAUUUACAAGCACCAAGUGCUUGGUGCUUUUACAAGCACCAUAGCCGGACUAUAUAUAUAUAUAUAUAUAUAUAUAUGGAUGCUGCCACGUACCCCCAUGCAUGCAUGCUUAUCCAUGUAUUUAAUUGAGGGUUGCAAUCAACACCUCUUUAAUUAAUUUUCCUUCCUCUCUUUUUCUCUGGAGCCGUACGUAAGGAGGAGGAGCUUGGGUGGAGCGUUCGUCGCCGACGUCGCGUCGUGGAGCCGUUCGAGCGCACGUUUGUCGCCGUAGCGUCGCGAGGAGGCCGGGCGAGGGUGCGAUUCCACCGUUCUUGACGUCGCGCCGGAUUGGAUUAGCGAUCGAGGUGGGUUUAUCAUCGGAUUUCUACUCCUAUAGCCUUGUUAGUCAACAUGUAUAGUUAGGAUAUCUGCGUUGGUAUUGUUUAGCUCAUAUUCAUGUUUAUGCAUUGUUCUAGGCCUAUAUAUUGAAUUGGGAGCAUGUUACUGUUUGUUAUUAAUUAUACAUGUUGGACUUGGAUAAAACAUAGGAGAAAACCAGUGUUCGGAACCUGUCAUAUGUUAAACUACCUGAUUUAGCCUUAGGGGCCCUUGUACUUUUAUACAGUUGCAGUGUUCUUGUGGUGAGUACCCCAGGUAGUCUAAUUUAUUGUUACACUCGUGCUGGGAUGCCGAGUCUAUUUUUACAGUAGUGUUUAGACUGUUACGGAUUAGUGGGUGCCGUCGCGGUUGACGGUGGACCCGGAUUUGGUCAUUUUGAGAUUUGAUUGUGCCGAGGGCACGUGACUAGUGGUUAGUAGCCCAAUUGGACUUAUUUUCUUGACUUUAGCCUGUGAGAGCCUGAUUGAGCUCGACAGAGAUGCGCUUGCAUACUCGGUUGGGUCGCGCCCACGAGUUGCCGCUCCGUAGUUUGGCUUUGUGCUUUCGCGUUGAUGUCACUGACUAGUUUUGCUAUCCACAGACUGUUUUGCGUGGAGGUAGCGUGACUUAGACAAGCGGGACGGUUGCGUUCACAGUCCCCGGGACUGGUGUGUUCACAGUCCCUAUUGAGAUUGAGUCAGAUUUGACAGUUACUACAGUUAGAUAGUAUAGAGACAGGUAGCUGUAGAUUUCUUUUCAGCUUUAACUACUAGUUUGUUUCUGACUGUAGUCUUAGUCGGUGGACCGAUAAUGUUGAGGGCGGUACCCACUGAGGACUACUUGUUUUUACAGUAGUUCUCACGCCCAGUUGUUACCACUGUUUUGUAGAGCCACCGGUUUCAGUUGCUGCGCCUUCCGAGGCUGAUCGAGGCAAGGGCGUCGCGAGUUAGAGCCCUACCCGACGAGUUGCUGAGAUAGAGGAUCCACUACUGCAGGUAGUUCCGGUUUAUUUUGUUGAGUUCAUGUACAUACAGUUGUUAUAACUCGCUGGAGCGAGUACCUUUGUAUAGCGUUUUGUUGUAUGUAUGUGAGACUUGUUUUAUUCUACCUGUUUGGUUUCUUUACAGCUCUAUACUACUGGUUGUAGUAUUGUAUAUUUUCAGUUACCGAUACGCUUCGUAUACUGGAAAAAUUCUUUGUAUACGGCGGAUUUGUCGACGUGCCCGGAAAUUGUGUAAUCCGGGGCGUGACAAGCGGUGUUUUAAACGUUGGCAAGAAUAACUCCGAUAUUUUUAAAAAGGUCGAAUAAAGAGUCAUUAAGUAAAUAUGUCAAGAUAAAUAUACAAAUAUUUUAAUAUAGCAUCAAAAAAUUUUUAUUAGUAUUUGAUUAAAAUAUAUUUAUUAGUGACACUUAAUUAUAGUGUCAGCAUAUGCAUAUAUUAAAGACGCUAGAAUAGAGCGUCGUCUAAAAAGUGCCGUCUAAAAUAUAUUCUGUUGUAGCCGCAAUAUUGAAAAUUUUGACAUAAUACAAUAAUAGAAGAGUCUCAAUAAUCACAAUCACACAAAUUACUUCUGACAAUUCUACUUAUGUACCGUCUCUAAUUGUAGUUUCAAUUUAGUACAUUAAUUUCUCCAACAAAGCAAAUCCUAUCAAUCAUAUCUCCUCUUAUAAUAACAAACCAUUAUCCAAUAAUAAUAAUAAUAAAACCAACACACCAACAUAUUAUUAUGAACUGCUAUAUAGACACACUAUUUGGAAUUCCUUUUCCUGUAAUUCCCUUCUCAUUCCCUACAUUUGAAGUGUCUGGAAAUAGCAAUGUGUAGGGAACCUUUGCUGGCCCCAGCCUAUUCUUCAGUUUUACAUUUUUGUUUCUUUCUUCUACCCUUUGUUCCACUUGCCGGAGGCUCUCCGCGAACUCAUCGAACAACCGCAGGACCUCACCGUCGUCGGUCCACCUCGACGAUGUCCUCUGCCCAAUGUACACUUCGUCGGCUAUGUGCUCGGAGAGCACCUCUAUUAGUGCCACCCCGAGAGUCGUUGUGAACCGGUCCGGCACCAUCUCCAAGUAGUACUUGUCUGGAUUGCCUAUGAACUCCGCAAACUCAGGAGUACCUGUAAAGCAAUCGAUUUUCUCCAAAAGCUUAGAUUUUCAGAGAAUUGUGUUUCUGCAUGAACAUGCUCUAAACACAUAUUUGAUUUAAAAGAGACACCUGAGUGAGACUAGAAGUCUAGAAAGACGUCUAAUCAGGUCAUUCUGACUCUGAAAUCGUGUAAAAUAAUGAAUUAUUUUUGAAAUUUUAAGUUAUUCGAGAUUUUUAUGUUAGCUCGGCAUAGUUUCAUAUCGACAUAGAAAAAAAGUGUGUCAAAUUAUACUGGCGUGCCAUUACGGCCCAUGCCAGUGGCAUGACAAAUCUUGGUAAAGAACAACGCGCCAAUAGUUUGUUUCUGGUAGUACCUUCUUGUGGGAUGAACUUUCGGCACCGUGUCGGGCGGUUUGGAGGGAAGCCAGCAUAGCCAUAUUGGCCAAAGUUGACAGCUGCAUGGAGGGCAGAAGCGAUCCAGAUGAGGGUGGUCAGACUUUGGAUUAGGUUGGCGAGUGAGUUCAGCGGAAGCCAGCAUUCAACAUCGUCGCGUUUGUCGCCAUGGCCAAUCUCGCGAAUCUCCUUCCACCACGAUUGGAGCUCGACGUCGGACGCGAUAUCUUCAUCACUAUGGUAGAAGUGGGAGCAGAAGUUGAUGACCCAAGUUUUAAUAGUAGUCCAGACAUCGAGUCCGUCCGCAGCGUAAGGAUAGUCUUCCAGGAGGAGUGUCACACCAGAGGGUUGGUUGGAGUCUCUUAUUGCUAGCCCCCUGAGGUGGUAAAGUUGGCAUAUAACAUAAAUAAAGAAAAGACAAAACGACACCUAUGAUGGUGUUUUGCUUCUUUCCUCGAGAAGCAGAGGCUCAAUUAUUUGGCAUAACAAAAAAAAAAAGACACAAACUAGCUUAUAAGUGACAAAGCUACAUGGGUAUCAUGAAGAAGUUUUACCUAUGAACAAAUAGAAUGGGAAAAAAGACAUAAUCUUUGCUUAAGAAAGAUUUCAGUUACAAGAAUGAAGCAAAAGAGUACUACUAGUCUUGAAAGAACUUAACAGAAAAGGUUGGGACCGAAAGAAUCUUAAAAAUUGUAGGAUUCACCGUUUGAAAUGCAUAUAAUCCAAGUAAUAGGUUGUGGAACCAUUUUAAAGCUGACAGUUAAAAAAAUAUGUAUUAAUGUAUAUAUAUGAAGCAAUUGCUAGUGGUAAAAGAAAUGUUCUACCUUUUAACGAGAUCUUCGGGAAGGGCUUGCUCGGUAAAUCGCCAAUUCUCGUAAAUGGUUGAGGAUAGCUCCAUGGCAUAUUUGCCCGGGAACAUAGUCCUCUCAAGGACCCCGCCGGCAUUUAGAAGUACCCCUCGCGCAAGCGCAUUUAUAUGCAUUGUGUCCUUAAAAUGAGGAUUGAGAAGCUUGUAAAUAGGAUGUAUUGUGCUCAAUUGCCUCCGUGUAGCUAUGAUGAAAGGUUCAACCGCCGCAUGUGUGUGUAGCCUACAAAGACAUUUCGGGUGAAAGCAUACAAUAUAAAUGAGCUUUGUUACAAUCUUUAGUUGAAUUCCUCUCAACAUAAAUAUGCAUUUGCGCUGUCUCAAUAUCAGAAUGUUAAUGCAAUAUGUAAAACCGUCGGUAGCAUAAGGAUCUCCUAAGAAACAAGAGAUAAAGGAGGCACUUGGCACUGUAAGUGAUUUUCUAUCCUUUUCUUAUAGAAUUUGAUGCAGGGCUGUGGUUUUUUAAUCUUCUUUUGAUAUCAAAUUUUCUUCAGGACAAUAAAAACAACAAUGCUGAAAAUACAUUUAUUCGGGAAAAAAAAAAAUAGAAUAGUUGAUACCAAAUCAUGAACCAAGAAUCUUUUUAUCGGCAACAUUCACUCACCAGUGACUAAUGAGUUGAUGGUAUCCUGAAUCAUUAACAGCAACAUGAGCUUUGGCUAGCAUCCAAAGUGCUCCCUCAGUGCCCUGGUUUGCAGGUAUGAACACCCUACUGACCUCUUGUUCCAUCCCUUCCCCUGGUAAGCUAAGCUCUAUCACCAAAGGCCUUAGAGUUCCAUCAUUCUUCAGGAACAAGAGGGUGCGGGACGCGUAGAUGCACAUUCCUUGCGCAUUUAUGCGCCUUAAGUACGGCACUAGGUAGUCGUGGUGAUCGAGGAUUAAAAUCCUCUUUUGCUUCAAAGCCUGUAUAUAGUGAUAAAAUUCAUACUUUCAGAAGAAAAAAUGGUAACCGUCAGAUACUCCUUUAAAGAUGAUAAGCAGCGAAUAAUGCACAUGCAAACAUAAGAUCUAAUAUAGAUCUUUCUCGACACAAGAUGACUUUCCAUCCAGAAUAAAAAAAUUUCAAGAAUGAAAUAAUACCAACCUGAGGAAUGGUUAAGCCCUCGAGCUUUCCCUGUAUAUGUGAGGCAUUGAUAGAGCUGUACUUCUCUUCUCUUCCAAUUGGCGGGAAUUGCUGUUUAAGGUACAAAACUCACUUAGAAAGUUUUUUUAAAAAACUAAAACAUUGAUUAAGAAAGUUCUUUUCAUUUGAUUAGGGGGGAUCCAAGACUUCUUACUUCUAAGCAUUUGAUCACAGCUGGGUUGAGCCCAGCUAGCAUUUCUCGUGUGAAUUCCUCGUCACUCCUCCACGCAUUCUCAUCAGCUGCAAAAGAGUUAGCUAAUGAUACUAACACUUGUGAAGGGAUAAAUUGCACCAAUGGGGUCCUCAAGCAAUUUCCAAAGUUUUACUUUAGUUCUCGACCUUUCUAGUUGGAUAUUUAUUUUCUUACUCUUGUACAAUUAUUUGAUUGUGAUUGUAUUUCUUGUCAAAACCUAUUACUUGACACAAUUGAACCCUUAAAAAAGUUCCUAUUGCAAAAUGCGUUGUUGUUUAUAGGUCAGGCAUUUCAUUUUUAUCAAAGAAAAAGAGAAGAAAACAAUUAAUCCAUUUCCCCUAGUGUUUUGGUGAAACUGGCUCACUUGCAAUCACUUGUGGAACCGGGAACUUCAAAGGGUUUUCCUUCGUCAACCGGAUGACUUCCUUAUAGAUAUCUUUUGGUAGGAGGGACUUCAACUUCUCCAUCACCACGCCUUCAACGAUAGACGGCUCAUGAGGCCUUGCGUAGAGGUCCUUUGUCAACUCUUUGAAUGAUUCGAAGUUGCCAAUAUCGUGUCCGAGCAGUGAUUUGACUUCGGGGAACGCGAAGUGCAAUACGGCUUGGAUCGAGUGCGUUAUGAACUCGGAGAGUUUUACAGGGCUAAACCGCUCAUCCGGUGGAACAUAGAAGUCGAGAUCUAUGAAUUUGCUCCUUGUUUCGGUUUCUCCAUCUUUGCAAGAGAAGAAGCUAGUGUUAGUGUAGAUACUAGGAUCAAAUUGUCUAACAAAAAUGCAAUAACCAUACUUCUUCUGAGAAGUCUAUACUAAACAUAUAACAUUGGUUGGAUUCGAGAACAUGUUAAAGUAUAGGUUGUGCACAAUUAUAAACUGUUUUGUUCUAAAGAAAAUCAACACUAUAUCUGUGUAUUUAGACUACAAAAGAUGAAUUUCCCUUUAAGGUAUCGAAUUUUAGGUGUUAUGUUGGAUCCAUGGCAAAGAACAAUAAUAUUACCUGCACGGCUAAGAGGUCGACCUGUACGGCCCCUGCAUGGAUAAGGGUACGUCUUGGUGCCUCCUAACACGGGCCUCACACGCUGUCUGCUGUCGGGAACUCCUAGAUCGUUGUAGUGAUCGUAGUCGUAUAUCCUCUCCCAUUGUUUCCUUUCUCCCCUUCCAUUCCCUCUAAGAUUCACUAGCUCCUCCUCCCUAAGUUUUUGCAGAGCUGUCGGAGUCUGAGUGGGAAGAUAGCUCUGCAAAUACAGCACACAAUAGAAAUUUUCUUAUCAUAGGCGGAUCCUUCUUUACCACCCUCUGAUUCAAUGCGACAAACCUGCUGAUAUGAAAAGUGAAUAUGUGACAACCACGCGAGUCAUUUUUUGUCCCAAUGUGUAGUUGCUUAAUGAUCCGCAUUGUCACAUUAACAACAAGUCUUGGCGUGGAAAGAGAGCAGAAACCAUAGGGUGGCAAAGCAUUACACUUUUAAAACAUGUUUGCUGAAGUAGAAUAGAGCAAUGACACAAGCAUUAUGCUAGGAUAUGUUCUAUCAAGUUUGUAUUUUGUAGGCUUUUCUCUAGUUCAAAUAAAGCUUACUGUGUUAGCGAAGAACAAGCGGUCGGAGUUCGUCUUUGUGAUCGGAUACACCCACGAAUUGCACUCGAAAUGGAUAGUCCUAUCUUCAAGUAUAUCGAUAGAUGCAAAUCUAAGAAAGAACUCAUGCCGGCCCCCAUUUUUCACUACGAUAGCGCCAGGGGUGCCAAAACUGUUUUCAACGGGAAUCGAGACUUGAUACGUCACCGUAUUGACAUUCCCAUGCUUACCAAUCUUGCCACCGUCAAGUGUUGCCUCCCUACUUAGCUUUCCUCUACCAGUGUCUGCACAAUAAACCAGAAUUAAUAACUAGUAAUCACAUUAUUCGAAAACGAGCUAAUUAGCUCAAGAGUUCAUAAAAGCACUUAACUGGGAUCAACUUGAGUGCUGCUAUAUAGACGGACGGUGGUUGAUUUUCUAGCAUCGGACUGUCCGAACGAUUGGGAGAUCACGACCGUUCCCUUGAGAAUUUGAUGGGCUUCCUGGGCAGGGACAGGACUGGGCUUGAAGCAUCGGUAACAAGACUCGCAUAAUAUACCCAUGUUAUCUACGUGCGGUGCUUGCGAGAUUAUCUGAGGAUUUCCAUAGCCAUCGUAGGCUUAUAUAGAGGUAAAGAGGUUAUAAGGAUUCUUUGUAGAGCAAGCAAGAUGAGUAUAUUGGAUUGACAAGGUAGAAAGAAAGAGAAGAAUGUGCUGCCUUAAGCUUUACCCUUGCAUCUGAUUUUGUUUCUCGACAGCCAUCUAGAUCUAUUCCAAAUAUUUUCUGCAGAGCCUAAACUGGUAAGUUCAUGUUACAUGAGACAUAUUGUAAUGUACAUGAACUUUUUCAUUCUUCUUUCCUUAAUAAGUUCAAGCAUUGCUAGAUAUUCAGUGCAAUCCAGAAAUGCCAGAAACUUGCUGAAAAUGUGAUUUCUGGAGAUUAGAAUACAGUAUAUUUCUUUAAACUUUGGCAUAGUAUUAGGUCUUACAUAUUUUACCGCAUAUUAUUCAGUUGUUAGUAAGUUCCCUAUUCCUUGGAAUGCCUUAGUCACAGCUUUUCUAUAAUGCCAAGAGAAGGAAAGUAGAAAGGUGAAAAUAGUUCGGAAAGUUACAAACCCUGAAGAAGUUAGUACAAAUCUGUCUCUUUUCUUUGAUGUAGAAAUCUUCUUUUUUUUUUUGAGAGCUUCGUUUAUUUCAUUUUAAAAAUAAGUUUAGGUGGAAAUGUGAAUCAACUAAGAUUCAAACUUGGGACCUCGGAUACCAACCAUCAAACUCUUUGCCACUUGUGCUAGAGACGGUCGGUUUUGAUGUAGAAACCUUGUUAUGGAUAAUCUGUUGCUUUUGGGAAAAGAGGAAACAUCCUGAUUAACGGUGCGAAAUCCAAUUGCAUGACAACAAAAAACACAAAUUCGAGAGAAUGGCUUGUAUAGUUGUAUUGCUGUCGAAAUCUAAGAACCUUUUUCACUUUGAUCAGAGUUAAUUGAAUAAGAAAAGAAUCCAGGAAAGGUAACCCAAAUCACAAGCAAGAAAUGACACGGAGCUUUUGUCAGAGCUAAUACAAUCAUGAAUUUAAGGAACUCAAGCUAAACUCAUUACAUGGAUAUGAUUAAUCAAGAAAAUAUUAGAAAAACAUCAGCAUUCAUAGAUAAAUCUACAACAACUUUUUAUCUUUUUGUUGAAUGGGAUUAUAUCAAUAAUGAUUAUUCUGAUGCAGUGGUUUGCAAAAAUCAGUAAAGUGCAACAGCAAACUGAUUGGAGAAAGCAACAUAUAUAAGUUUGGAUGGAUGAGCUAAUGGCGGAUCAAGUGAUGAUACAAUUAAGGAAUUAAUUGUGGGUGAAUCAAAUUCCCAAAAUCAGGAAUCUACCAACUUUGACAAGUAUUCAAAUUAUAAGCAAUUGUGGAAAUUCAAGAAUGGCAAUCUCUCAAGUAUGGCAACCACUCCAAAUAGAAAAUAUUUGGAUUCAAAUAUUGUACAUUUUUAGAAUGUAAUUAUGUAAAUAUUGUAAUCCCAAGAAUAAUGGGAUUAUAUUUUGUAUUCAGUAAUUGUAUAUAUUGAAAGUGGAUUUUGUGUGUUCUCUAUCGAGAACAACAACCAUUUUUCCACUAAUUACAACUUCCUUCAUGAGCAAGAUAUUCCAAAGUGGAAGUGCGCAAGUUGCCAACGAGAAGAAAUAUGACGCAAGCGUAUAAUGCAUGUAGUGAUGAUCAAAUUUCUCAAGAACGACCGAUCGUCCUUAGAGCAAGUGGUAAAGGGCUUCGUGGUUGGUACUCAAGACCUAAGUUCGAAUCCUAGUUGAUUCACUAAGUUUAUUUUCUAACUGAAAUAAACGAAACGAGUAGCGUGCUACUUAUCUCUCAAAAAAAAAAAAAAAUCUCUCAAGAACAUAGAUACCAAAUUUGAUGUAGUUGAACCCUACAUGGAGGUAACAUCGGCGAGCAUUUUUGCAGCAGUAACAUAGAGUUUGAACUUUGAACUCGAAGCAUCGAGUUUGUUCUCCAAGUUGAAUGCCAGAUGGUGGUGGAAGUUUCACAUGGCACCGGAACUUCAAUGGAACAAGAUUAUUCGAGCUUUAUACUACCGUAGAAGGAGACCACUCUAUACUGGUGUUUUUGGUUGGAGGUUAGGAUGGGAGGAUAAGGGGUUAUCUCCUUUUUAUCUCCUAUAGUAGUAAGAUUGAAAAGAGGUGGGGUUUGGAUACGUUUAGGGAUGGGGUUAACAAAUCCUACCCCUGGAAUUAGGAUGGAUUAGCUAAUUCUACUCUAAUUUAAUUUUUAUAUUUAAAUUUUAAAUUUUAAAUUUUAAAUUAUUAUUUUUAAUUUUUAAAAUUUAAAAUUUGAUAUUUGAUAUUUUAAAAUUUAGAUUUAAUCUUAAAUUUAAAAUUUAAAAUUUAGAACUUUAAAUUUUUAAAUUUAAGAUUUAAAAAAUUUAAUUUUAAUUUUGAGUUUUUCAAUUUUAAAAGUUAUAUAUUUCAAUUUUGAGUUUUUCCUUUUAUAUGUAGAUUUUGAAGUGUAUGAUUUAAUGUGAUAUUUUUCUAACAACAACCUACAAUAUGCAUGUAGUUUCAAAGUCCAACUGAGAGUGAUAGACGAGUCUGGGAGUGCUUUGUUGAUUUUAUUUGAUCGUGAGGUUGUCCAGUUUCUGCAAAGUACUGCCGCGCAAUUACACCAACAAGUUUUAAUGGUAAGUGCGUAUUAUUUAUCAUAAAUAUAUAUAGUCUGUUUUUUAUUUUUUAUAUACUAAUAGUAAAUAUUCUUACUCAGACGGGUGACAUGAGUUUGGCACCUGAAAAGCUUGAUGAGUUUCUGAAAAAAAUAAUGCUAUUCAAGAUAAGGAUAAAGGACAAUAAUAUCAAUCAUCCUAAGCUUGUGUACACAGUGAACAAACUGAGCAGCGAUAAAACUCUGAUUGAUGAAUUUUUGAAGAAGUCAAUUUUAAUUGAGGUAAUUGGCAAUUCUAAAUUUUAAUAUGAUGCUACAAUUCAGGUCGAUCUAUAUAUUUUUUAAUAGCAUAUAUAUAUUAAAAGUAGUUUAAUUUGAUAUGAUUUAAUUUUUAACAUAAAUUUUUAUAUGUUUGUCAUUAUAGGAGUCCAAUUCUGUAACGUGCGAUAAUGAAGAAUCAGAUAUUACAUCACCGAACACACUGACUCCAUUAAAGCGCAAAAAACUCUAUCAUUGCAGAAGACGACUUUACGCAAGGAGAGCAUCAGAUGUCAAGCUGUAAUAGGCUGAAACUUGAUUAAAAGCUAAUUGUGAUCAAAGUGGGCACAAUAAUGCUAAAAUGGAAAUUAAAGACUUCUAAACUGAAUUAGAAGCUUGAGAUCAGUCAUUGGCACACUUUGGAAGUGUGGGAAUAGAUACAAGUGGAAAAGAAGUGACAAAAGAAUUCCAAUUGCCAUGGUAACUCGAAUGCUGAAUUUUGUAGUCGAUUUGGUCGAAAUGAACCAUAUGAUGUCAAAAUGAAAAGGAAUUGUUUCCAAAUUAAAUUGGUAGCUUGGGAAGGUCCCUUGGUGUAUUUUGGAAGUGUUUGGGUGAAAUCGGAGCGAAAACAGAAGAUUUGAAAUUUUCUGUAAAGAAUGGGACUGAGAAAAUUAGCAGAAAAUGCACAGUGUCAGAAAAUUAUGAAAAUUCGCAGAGAUGUCAGGAACAUUAUUAUGAGGCUAGAUUUGAAGUUUUAUAUUUUUCUAACACCUGUAGAGAGAGAAAUAGCAUCUGAAAGUUAUCGGAUAAAGAUUACAGUUCGGGACAGUUCGCAGUGACCAAACGGGGUCGAAACUGAAAUGUUAAAAUUUCAGUGGACUUGUCAAGUAAAAACGAACAUUCCUGCCAAAUUUGAGCUCAAUCGGACUGUCGGAAGGGCCUGCGAAAGGUAUUUGAUCCGCGCGGCUAAACGGAUUAGUCGAGGGGCAAAAUGGUAAUUAGCUAUGGCUUAGUGGAAUUCCACUAAACCUGCCAACAGGGGAGCUCCAUCCUUAUCCCCCUUCUGCAGCCCAUACGUAGAGAGAGAAGAGAAGAAGAAGAAGAAGAAGAAGAAAAAGAAAGGUGAGAAUUUUAUUUCCUCUCUCUCUCCUUGCUUUGUUUCUUCCCUUCUCCCUGCUGUCAGCCUUAGCAGCGAGCAGCAGCAGCUUGCUCAGCAGCAGCAGCAGUGGCAGCUGCUGCCAGCAGCAGCAGCAGCAGCAGCAGCACAAGCAACCUGCUGCAGCAGCAGCAGCUUAGCCAGCUGCUGCCAGCAGCUUCAGCAGCAGUAGCUUCAGCAGCAGCAGCUUCAGCAGCAGCAGCAGCUUCAGCAGCUAGCAGCAGCAGCAGUGGACAGCAGCAGCAGCUGCUGGAGUAGCAGCAGCAAUAGCAUCAGCAGCAGCUGCAGCAGCCAGCAGUCAGCAGCAGCAGCAGCUCAGCAGGAGCUGCUGAGCAGCAGCUUCAGCAGCAGCAGCCAGCAGCAGUGGCAUCAGCAGCAGCAGCUGCUGGAGUAGCAGCUGAGCAGCAGCAGCAGCAGCAGCAUGCGCAGCAGCAGUGGCAGCAGCAGCUGCUGCCCUGCAGGGGCAGCAAGCAAGAAAAGAAAGAAAAGAAAGGAAAGGAAAGGAAAGAAAAGAAAGGAAAGAAAAGAAAGGAAAGAAAAGAAAAGAAAGCAAGAAAGAAAGAUAAUGAAAUAGAGUGAAAGAUGAAUCGAAGUAUUUAGACAGUUUUUACUAACUGAUUUGAGGUCCUUGGGCUAAUAAAGAGUUGAAUUACUCUAUUGAAUUGUGAAAUUGCAUUGAAAUAGUGUUUUUGAGAAAACUGACCCCGGCAAUGCACUUUUGCAAAAUAAGAAUCCUAAAGUGAAAUUGACCGCGUAUAAACCAAAUUGAGGGUAAAAGAAACGCGUUGGCGAAGUCGGUUCGGCAAUCCGACGAACCUACGCAAAGAUAUCGCCAAAAGAAGGUUUUCGGCUAUAGUUGCCGCUUUCUGUAGCAUUGAAAUGCUAACUUGUAAAAUAUGAGCGAUGACUCUAGUUUAAUCUCUCCUAGUCUUAUGUAAAUGAUAAUUGAACAUGUUCGAAAGUCUAAAUUGACUUUUCUACAGGUCGACGACGCGCUAAUUACGGUAGAGGCCGUUCUAGUUCUAUUUGCACGGAGUCGCGACAGAAAGUUGUCGACGCUUUUCGAGACCCUGAUCUUAGUGGAUUGACACCACUACAGGUGGGUCGGAUCUUCCCAAAAUGGGUGAAUUUCCUCUAUGUCUCCUUUGACAUCUGAGUUGAAGUUAUUUCAUAUUCUUGUGAAUAUAUGUAUAGUUUAAAGCAGUGAGACAUGCACUGAUAUGUAGAUCAUAUCGGAAAUGAUAGCAUCUUUAAAUGGUAAUGAAAGAUUCAGGACUUGUCCAUUCUACAUGGUUACCUGUUAGGUACUAUGAAUUCAUGAUCCUAGUAGCUGGUAUAUGCAAUUUGGCUUGUUGUUAUCCACGAGGAUAGCAUGGUAAGUUCGUGAAUGGACUAAUUAGUUCUGUUGAACAACAAAGAGAUUGAUGUAUUUAGGAUUGAGCUAUGCAAUAUUAUGUAUAAUUGCUAUACUCUGAAAGUUCAGGUAAAGGCCUUUGUUUGGCAUAUGCAUUUCUAAUUGUAGAAUGAAUGGCAUAGAGAUCAUGAGAAGAGUGUUUUAUCGCUUGCAUUACCUUGUUAGUUUCUACUUUCACAUGAUAGACUGGUAUUAUGGUAUAUGUUCUAGUAAGUAACUAGACUUUCAUAUGAUGGCAUAACUUGAAUGAUUAUUCAACUAAAUAUAAUCUAGUAGAUAACUAGAUUUGGAUAUGAUAACAUACUUGUAUAGUCAAGUAGAGAUUUAUAUUGGACUACAGGAUAUGUGCCAUGAGUCUUUGAACAGAACAUUAGCAAACCACUUUCCUUAUGUGUAAGGAGUAGUGAGAGGUUGUGAAUCACUGACCAGGUAUAGCCUGUUAGAGUCAUGAGUGUGAUGUAAAGCCUUAACUUGUCAAGUUAUACUAGUUAUUGGUAGAAUCAUAUCAACAAGUUGUUGAUAGUGACUUAUGAUUGGGUACUACAAUGCCGACCUUGGGUCGAGUUGAGAUUCCAUGUCAGAGACAUGAUGCUGUUGAGAUAUUUGUACCCUGGACUAUAGCUAGCAUGCCAUUAUGCUCUUUCGUACAUGCUUGCGGGGGUCGCGCCCCCCAAGCCUCGCGUUCCGGAGUGGCUUGAGUUGAGAUUCCAUGUCAGGGACAUGAUGUUGUUGUGAGACUGGUACUGUGGACUACGGCUUGCAUGCCAUUGUGUGCGUUUGCACACGCUUGCGGGGUCGCUCCCCCCCAAGCCAGCACUCCCGAACAGCUUAGCGACAGAUGCUCGCAAAUGUACGAAGUGAGUGCCGAAAUGGAAUGCCGUGGGGGAGGCUCAUUCCUCGAGUGGGGAUGUUGACUACCACGGGGCUAUUAGGCACGGCGCGGCUUGAACUUACCUUGGGUAAGUCUGUUGGAAAUUGGGUUAUGACAAGUACUUUAACCUUAGCUGGACAUAGUAAUAUAGUUACUUUAUGUCUUUGGUUAAGUGAACUUAUUGAUGAACAUACUAGAAAGUUGACAUCUAAAGUGAGCUUAGUGAUGAACAACCUAGAAGUUGACAUCAUGAUUGGUUAGCAACAUAAUGAAUGACAUUAUGUCUCUUUCUUGCUAUGGAACAAGGUAAUUACAUGAUAUCAUCUGUAAUUUUAGUAAAGUGAAUUAUCUUGCAUACAUUCUGAUAUAUGUUUGGUUAAAUUGUCAAGUAAUAUGAUUGAUAGAAUCUAUCAUGAUAACUGAUACCUGCAAUCUAUUGUUAUUUAUUUAUGGUUGAGCAAAUAGCAUGAGUAGUUUACUUCCAUAUCUGUUGCAUAUAAUUGCUUAUUGUAUUAUCUGCAUUUACUCGCUUAUUUAUUGCUAUCUACUCAUGCCACAGUUGACCUAGUGGUGUACUUCGCCACUCUCGGCGGCUUACCCACUGGGAACUAUUGUUUAAUAGUUCUCACGCCCUCUUUGUUGUUGUUUUUUUUUACAGAGCCUUCCACAGCGGGAAAGGCUAGGGUUCCUGGCGAGGGGUCAGCGACUAGCUAGAGCCUUUUUGGACGUGUACUAGAUCACCUCCAGCAGUUUAUAUAGUUUAGUAUCGAGAUGUAUAUUAAGUUAUUAUAAUUGUACUUUAUUCUUAUUUUCUGUUCUAAGGCUUGGAUUGUAUAAGUCUAAACUUAUAAGUCUUGCUCUGAUUACCUAGUUGAAUUAUAUGCUUUUACUAUAUGGUUUGUAGACGCCUUGUGUAUACUUGCGUUGUGGUGUACACGGCGGGUCUGUGCACGCAACCGGAUAUGCUUCCGCUGGUACCCGGGCGUGACACAAGCAACAAGCAGAAAAUAUUUAUCAAGAAGGAAAAAGACUAAAUAAUUUUGAUGCUUAUAUCGGAGAUUGGGGAUUUUAAGUAUUAGCCAUUUUGGACAUUUGUUUAAUUGUAUUUUGGUAAUAUUUUGGAUAUUUUAAGCAUUAGACAUUCCCAUUUUUGAUAUUUUAAGCAUUAGUCAUUGUCUUUUUUAAAAAAAACUUUCUUUGAAAUAAAAUAUUUACUUAAGCAUUAGUCAUUGUCUUUUUUAAAAAAAACUUUCUUUGAAAUAAAAUAUUUAAUUAAAAAAUUAGUUCUUAAUGUAGUCUUUGUCUUUUUUUUUUUUAACUUUCUUUCAAAUAAAAUAUUUGCUUUAAAUAUUUGCUUUUUUUUGGGAGGGAGGUGGGCGAACUUUUACAAAAAGGUUUUUUUGGGAGGGAAGUGUUUCAGAACUUAAUAUAGGUGAGCAGUUUAUUUUUCAUGUUAUUUCAAAAUUUAUAAUUUUUCAACAAUUCAACUUUGUCAUUUUAUUUUUUAAAUAAAUUUAGAUAUUUUUCUGAAAAAAUUCACUAAUAUUAUGAUAUUUAUCAUUUAACUUAUUUAACAAUAUAUCUAUAUUGUUAUUGGAGCAGGUAUUUUCCAUCUUCAUUCAAUAAAGUUUUUUUUCUUUAUAUUUUUUUGAAGGCCAACAUCUAUAUAUUUUUGAAUUUUAAAAAUUUGCAUGUCUCUUAUAUACGUGUGCUUACUAUAAUUUGUGUCAAAUAUGAAAGUUUAGUUGAUCUUAUUAUAUGCUUAAAUAUUAAUGUCAUUUGUAAUUUUUCAUAUCAAUUUUAGUUAUCAUUUUGCUUUGCACAUCAAUAUGUAAAUGUAAAUUAUUUUGCACACCAAUUCAUAGAUAAUAGAGCAGCAUUGAAUUUUGCUUUUUACUUGAGUAUUUACUUUGGUCCAUAAUUUUUUUUCUCUAGCUUUUGUACUUUAAUAUGUACUAUAAUUAAGAUUGAUAGUAUAUUUUUUUAUUUGUUAAAAAAAUAUAAUAUUAAUUAGAAUAUUUUUUUUAUCAUCACAUAAUAACUUUUGUUAGUUUAUAUUAUUAUAUAUUAUCCGUACAUUGCACGGGUCAAAUACUAGUUAUAAAAAAUGGACGGAACAGUGACCGAACCUUGACGUAGGGAGACUAAAUACAACAAUUUAAAAUAUUGAGAGGAUAAAAUAUAGGUUUUAAAAAAUUAGGAAGAAAAAGUGAAAAAAAGAAUAUUUAUAAGGGGAUUUUCUAUAAUUUAAACUUUAGGCAUAAUUGCCUAUAUACCCCUCAUGCGUCUGGAAAUAUCCGAUCUAACCCUACUUUUUUUUUCUUUCUAAAAUGCCCCUCAUAUGUUCCACUGUUAUUCUAAAAUACCCCCGCAGUUAUCCCCUGUUAACUUAACUCGGGUUAAACAUAGGUUAAAUGUAUACUAGAGUUAAAACCUAUAUAAAAUACCUAUUUUACUCCUAACUUAUUAUGCCAAUUCCUUAAGUUAUCAUCUUUCUCUCCCAAGUCCCAACUUGAUCGCCGGCUCCUCCGCCUCCAUCUCGCCAGCUCCCGCUUGCCGAAUUAUAUCCGUACCGAAUUUUUGCCGAAUCCAAAUUAACUAACUAUGCCUCCAGCUACCAAGGUUGGUUUAACUACGAUCGGUCUCGACGUGCUUAAUUAAUUAAUUUAUAUUUGAAGGGCAAAUAAGAAAAAUAUUUGCUAUAUAAAGGGUAUAUAAGAAAAGUUAGUUACGAUAGAAGGAUAUAUUGGAAUGGGCAAAAUGGUAAUUUUACAGAGAUAACGGCAACUCACUAACGGAGCUUAACUCCAGGGGUAUAUUAGAAAGACUUGGAACAUAAGAAGGGUAUUUUCAAUAUUAGCCUUCUAAGAGGGGUAUAUAAGAAAACCGGAAACUUUUCAGGGGUAUAUAGGCAAUUGCCCCUAAACUUUAAAUUUACAUGUAUUUUAUGUUCGUGCAUAAAUAGGAAGAUGAAAUCCCACAAAAAUCCCAUUAAUAGCCACAAAAUAUUAAAAUCGAGAUACAAAAAAAAAACAAAUUAAUAGCCUAGCAGGUGAAACUUUAUUGUGUGCUUUAUAAACUAAAAUUUCUAGAACUCAAAUCUAGAUGCCUUAACCCUCAAAUGUAAAAGCAUUGAAUGUAAUCUAGAACCCUACAUAGUUUAUUUAUGCAUGAAAAUUCGUAGUUUUUUAAAAAUAAUAUCUCAUUGUUUACAUUUGGGUUUUAAGACUUGUAGGUUUGGUAGAACAAGUAAUUAAAUAGCAAAGACAAUUAGACAAAAAUAAAAUAUCAAGUAAAACUAAAAUAAAGCAUGAAAAGAUCGACUAUUUUUUUAAUCUAAUAGAUAUUAUGCAUUCCAUGCACGUGUUAACGAAUACAUAUUAGGAUGCUAUUUCCUUCCUUGUAGAAAACUUGAUUUAUUAUUUGAGUAAUUUUCUCAUAUUAUUAGGAGUUUUCUUUCUUUUGUUAGUCAUGUAAUUGUGUUAUCCCUAUUGAAUAAAUGAGUCUUAAACCUAGCUCAAUUACAGCAAGAAAUAACAUAAUCUAAAGAAAACAAAAAAAAAAAAAAAACCAAAAAAGUAUAAGAUAAGUAAUAAGAAUAAUGGAAGAAAUUAAAUAUGUGCGUACCUGAAUCGCUAAAUAUCCAUUCAUGUAUUAAAUAGAAAGACCAGUGUAGAAAUCCAAAUGGCUAAAUGCAUGUUCAUGUGCGAGGAGAAAGAGCAGCAGAGAGAUCCAAAUGGCUUUCAACGUACUGAAUCGCUAAAUUGCUAUUCAUGUGUUAGGGUGAAAGAGCCCAUGUGUUGAGGAGAAAGAAUAGCGUAGAGGUUCAAAUGGCUCUCAAUGUAUUUAUAAGCAUGCAUGAUAAAUAAAGUUUGAUUCUUUGCUUAUCAUUUGGGAAAAGAACCUGUUUUAAUGAAAAUUAAAGAUGAAGCUACAACCUGAUACUAAUUGCACAUCCAACUUAUUUCUUUUCUAUUUUUAACUUUUUCUACAAUAGUUUAACUUUAUUUUAUUAUAAAUAAUAUACAUCAUUACUAAAAGUAAGAUUACUAUAUGUCAACAAUUUAGCUGGCCACUUGACGAAAAUAGUAACUGCGACUAUAAAAAUAUGAUUCUUUACUUGCCACUUUAGAAAGAACUUACAUAUUUUAAUGUAAAUUAAAGAUGUAGUGUUAGGAUUCAUUGAUAUAUAUUCUUGUUUCAAUUAAUUUCAAAAUAAACUACUUGCUGACCCAUGCAUAGCACCUAGAUAUUUUAGAACUUUAUUUUUUAAAUAAUAAAUUAAUUUAAUAACAUUGGAUAUUAUUACACAUUUGAUGUAGUCAUAGAUAGAGAUAUUGAUUGCAUAUCCAAAUUUCUUUCCUAUUUCAAGUUCUUCCUAUAACAAUUUAAAAUUUUUUAAUUAUAAAUAAUCAAGUUGUCUUAAAUAAGAUUGGCAUGUGUCAAGAACUUGGAUUGUCAUAUGAUUCUUUGCUUGCAACUUUUGAAGAGAAACCAUUUUAAAAUAAAGGUGGUGGGUUGGUGAUUUUUUAGCUCUAUUCUUGUACUGGUUGCUUGUUAAAUAAACUAGUUGUUAAUUGAUGCAUUGUACACAUAAAUUUAAGAAAUUUUAUUUUAGAAAAUAAUAAAUUAAAGUUAGGAGAAAUAAUCUAUUGCAUAGAUUAUUUUAAAUUUAAAAAACUAAUUAUUUUAGAGAUAGUUUUUUGAAAUAAGAUUUGACAAGGUUACAUAUUACAUGUAGCUUUAUAUUUAUGGACUGACUGCAUACCCAAAUUUUCUUCUAAAUUUUAAUUUUUUUAAUAAUAGUUUUAGGAGAUCUCUAAAAGAUUUGAAAUAAUCUUAUAUAUGAGAUAUGAUAGGAUUAAACCUCUUAAUUUGGUUAUAACAUUUUUGGUAGUGACUAGACGAAAGAGAUUAAUUAGGAGAGUUAAUCUUGCUAGAUCUAAAGUAGUUCUAUGAUUGGUGACUCUUGUGAAGUAGGAUGUCACAGUUGGUGUCAGAGCCAAUCACCAGCAAGAAAGUGUGAGAUAAGUCUUGACGGGUAGAGUGCGGCUUUCCAGCUGACGAUUGUUGUGGGUGGAAGGCGGCUUCCCACAAGAUCAGCUAAGGCUAGUAAUUCUUUCCCCCUACAUUUGAAAUAGUUCUAUAUACGAGAUAAAGUAGGGUUAAACCUAUUAACCAAACGAUAGUAUUUCGGAUGGUGACUAGACUCAAGAGGUUAAAAGCGUUAAACGUGUUAGAGGUGGAGUAAUUAUAGGAUGGAUGAAUUCUUGAGAAAUGGAGCAUUACAAGUUUAAAAUUUUUUCACUAUAAUAAUAGAAUUAUUUUAAGCAAGAUUGCCAUGUUCAAUAAUUUAGAUUGCCACUUGGCAAAAGAAGAAGUUUCAAAUACAAAAGUAUGAUUAUUUACAUGCCAUUUUAGAAACCAAUUUAUUUUAAAUCAAUUUAAAGAUGCCUGAUUGGGGAUUCUUUUGGUUCUAUAUUCUUGGCUCAAUUAAUUUGAAGAUAAACUAGUCAUUAAGUACCCAUGCGUUGCAUACAAAUAUUUUUAAAGUUUUAUUUUUUAAAAAUUUUAAAUUACUUAUAAGAAUAUUUAUAAAUUACUUAUCAAAAAUUUAAAAUCUAAUUACUAGCUUAUAGGAAUAAGUUCCUUAAAUAAGGUUGAAAAAAAAUUACACAUUCGAUUUAGCUGCAGAUAGAUAUGAUGAUCGCACACCAAUAUCUCUUUCUUACUUUUAAUCUUUACUCACUAGUUUAAACCUUUUGCAAUUAUAAAAAUAUAAUUGUGUUAAUUAAGAUUAUUACAUACCAACAAUAUAGUUGGGUGAAACAAAAGGUUUCUGCUUUAAUUAAAGUAUUAUUCUUAACUUGUUGCUUUGGAAAGGAACCAAUUAUAAAGCAAAUUAAAGAUAAAGGGUUGGGAAUUCUUUGCUUUAGUAUGCUAUGCUCGAUUAAUUUCAAAAUAAAUUAAUGCUUAACAUGUGCAUUUGCACACAAAUAUUUUUAAAAUUUUACUUGUUUUAAAGAAAUAAUAAUUUAGUUUUAAGAAAAAUAAUAUAUUCUACAAAAUUGUUUAAAACUAUUUAAAACCUAAUUAUUCGUAGAGAUUAUAACUUUUUUUAAAUAAACUUCAAUAUAUAGACUGCAUAUACAAAUCAAAGAUGUAGGAUAGGAAAUUCUUUAAUUCUAUAUUUUUUAUUUUAUUAAUUUCAAAAUAAAAUAGUUGUUAACCCGUGCUUUGAACAUAGAUAUUUUAAAUUUUAUUUUUUGAAGGAUCAUAAAUUUAUAGAGAUUUGAGCGUGUCAAGCCGCCUAUCACGAAGACGGCCGCACAAUCAAGUCGGUUGGAGAUUCGUCGUCACGUCAUUCGCACGUUUAUGUAGGUCUUUCGUCGAUGUUGGGAAGACAGAUGAUUGGUGAAUACGCGCACACGAUAAUACCGAUUCAAUACCUGAUUUGAUCAGGUCGGCCUAUCAUGAAGACGGUCCUGUUAAUCAAACCAGCAAAAGAAUCACUACUAUACCGUUUGCACGUAUACACCAAUCUAUCGUCGUUGAGGAAGAAAAAGAAAGAGGCUAUGAGGCCUCCUUCCACGCCGUUGUUAUUGUUGAAGUCGUCAUCGUCGUCGGAGAAGAAGAAAGAGAAGGUCAUAAGGUCUCUUUGCACACCGUCAUCGUCGUCAAAGUCAUUACCGCCGCUGCCUUCUUCAUGCCUUUAACUCUCUUUCUUUUUCUUUUUCUUUUUCUUUUUCAUUUUUUUUGGGCUGAGAGAGGAGGGGCCCAUGCCUUCUCUCUCUCUCUCUCUCUCUCUCUCUCUCUCUCUCUCUCCAGGUAUGAACAAGAGAAUGAGAGGCGUGGUCCAAUUUAUAGUAAUUUUAGAAUCUCUUUAUUUUGAAAAAUAAUUCAAAAAAUUUUUGAAGAUAAAACAACAAUAUUUUUUUUUUAAUCUUUUCUCUUGUUGACAUCUAUCUAAGAAAAGUAAUAAUUAAAUCGUACUUUAAUUUCUUUCCUUCUAUAUCUUCAAUUUGAAUUUGAUUUUUUUAAAAAUCUCAAACAAAGUAUAUUCUCAAUUUAAAUAUGAAUUUUUUUUUUAAUCUCAAACAGUAUCAAUUAAUUCAAUUAAUUUCAAAAUAAACUAGUUGCUGGACCCAAUGCAUAGCACACAGAUAUUUUAAAACUUUAUUUUUUAAAUAAUAAAUUAAUUUAAUAGGAUGGGAUAUUAUUAUACAUUUGAUGUAGUCAUAGAUAGGUAUAUUGAUUGCAUAUCCAAAUUUCUUUCCUACUUUAAGUUCUUUCUAUAACAAUUUAAACUUUUUUUUAUUAUGAAUAAUCUAGUUGUCUUAAAUAAGAUUGGUAGGUGUCAAGAACUUUGAUCCUCGUAUGAUUCUUUAAAAUUUGCAACUUUUGAAGAAAACGUUAACCCAUUUUAAAAAUAAAGAUGGCGGGUUGAUGAUUUUUUAGCUUUAUUAAUUUUUGUACUGGUUGCUUGUUAAAUAAACUAGUUGUUAAUCGGUGCAUUGUACAUGAAUAUUUAAGAAAUUUUAUUUUAGAAAAUAAUAAAUUAAAGUUUAGGAGAAAUAAUCUAUUGCAUAGAAAAAUUUUAAAUUUAAAAAACUAAUUAUUUUUAGAGAUAGUUUUUUGACAUAAGAUUUGACAAGGUUACAUAUUACAUGUAGCUAUAUAUUUAUGGACCGACAACAUACCCAAAUUUUCUUCUAAAUUUUAAUUUUUUCAAUAAUAGUUUUAUGAGAUCUCUAAUAAAAGAUUUGAAAUAGUCUUAUAUAUGAGAUAUGAUAGGAUUAAAUCUCUUAAUUUGGCUAUAACAUUUUUAGUGGUGACUAGACCAAAGAUAUUAGGAGAGUUAAGUUUGCUAGAGCUAAAGUAGCUUUAGGAUUUGCGACUCCUGCGAAGUAGGGUGUUAACAGUUGGUAUUAGAGCCAAUCACCUGCAGGAAGUGUGAGAUAAGUCUUACAUUAGUUAGGGUUAUAUAACGGAUAGAGUGCGGAUUUUCAGCUGACGAUUGUUGUGGGUGGAAGGCGGCUUCCCACAAGAUCUAUAUUUGAAAUAUAUAGUCAUUUAUGACGGGCACGUUGUAUUCAAGUACAACUGUACAAAUACAAUACCCGAUCGAGCAGCUACUUGAAUAAAUAAGAUGGGCUUUCAAUUGGAUCAAACUACUCAUACUUCACGUUAUUUUAUUAUGUCCAAGUAGUUACUCUCUGUACGUAUCAGUCGGUUUGUCUUGGUAUUCGAAUUAGCAGCAACAAAUUAUUGUCUGUGAUACAACAGUAACUUAUAACUAGACAUUAUUCUCUUAAUUAGUAUGAUUUGCUUUUGGAAUAUUAGGAUUCAUAAUUGAGCAGAUCUAAGAACCUGACCUUGAUUACAUACUACAUGCAUGUAUUGUGAAAAGAUAUUUGUAUCGGUUGGUCCUCAUCGGAAUUCUCCUCGCCACUAUCACACUUUUGAGUUAAAAGUAUAUAUAUUGUUGCCAGAAUUGAACAAAUCAAGGCUGCUGGUUUCUAUCAAGUCUUAGCUACAUGCAUGCAAUUUCUAUUUUAUAGAUCAGCUUUAUAUGUCCUCUCUAUAUGAGCAAAUAUAUAUAAUUCAUACACAUUAAUUGAGAUAUAUAGUCCAAGGAUCUCUAAACCAGAUUAAUUCAAGACUACAACAGCAACAUGAGCAUCUCUGGAUUUCUUUUUUUAUUUACUUGGAAGUUGAUGCGAAAUAAACCUUGUUACAGAUUAAUUCAAGACUACGGCCUGGCCGAGGCCGUGAGUGCUGUCAUCAACAUUCUUGGCAUGCAACCAUGCGAGGUCAGUAGGCUUUUUAUGUAGUCGAUUGCAUAUGCCAAUAUUGUACUUCCAGUUACCAUUUUGGGUUUUUUUUUUUUGUUUCCUAAAUUGAGACAAAGUUAUCUCUUCUGUAUCGGUCACUAUUUAACAUUAACCAUGUGAGAGAUUUUAUCAAAUUUGACUAAAUAAUCAACCAGGGGGAUAUUUAUAGUGGUGUAGCUUAAAUUCACUUCGCCUUCUGGUGUGUAGCUGCUGUUGUGGGUCUCCCUAACAGGACCUCCUGUUAACUACAAAAAUAAAUGAAGCACAAUGUUCACACAACUCAGAAAAACACCUCUGUAAAUAAGGAUUUGAGUUAUCUAAUUUUAUCGACUCUGUUAGUUUAAAGUGGUUUAAUGAGUCACAAUGAUUCGUAAAGUUUAAACAAUGAGGUUAUUACGUGGGGAUCUCUAUAUAAGUUCUGCAGAUAAUUAAAUUUCACCUAUUUACCAUUUUAAGUUUUAAUCUGAUGCUUUUAAAAAAACGUGGUUUAAUGGCGCAGGGAACUGAAGUGGUGCCGAGCAAUUCGAGGUCGCACUGUUACGAUAUAUUUUAUCAAUAUUAGGAUGUUACGAUAUAUUAGGAUAUUGUAUUUUUUUGCCUUAUAUAGAGUAGUAUCAUUGCCUUCUAUAGAGUAGAAUUAUAUAGUAUGUAAUCCUAGUUAUACUCUUACUAUAGUAGUCAUUGUUACUAUAGUAAGACAAUCUCUUGUACUAUAUAUAUUCAUUAAUACAAUUCAAGAGGGUAUGCACUUUAGCCCUUCUUUCACGCACACGUGCCUUCUGUCCGGUGUCUACAUCGGCAACGUGAAGGUCCUGGCAAGGCUGUCUUUUGGGAUCAGCGGGCCCAAGGAGGUCGCGAUGAAGCUCGUGGUGAGAUCGGGGGAUCCGGACGUCACCGCCAGAAUCCACCAAAUCGUCAUCGAGAGUUAACAACGGAGAGUUAAAUGUCUCCCCAUCUUCUUCCUUCUUCUUUCCCCCAGUGGGAACUUAAAGCAGUAGAUGAAGGGCUCCCUUCCUUUCUCUCUCUCUCUCUCUCUCUCAUUUAAUUACUUUUCACUCGAUAGUUAAGAAAAACAGCUCUUGUAAGUUUUGAGAGAAGACACUUUGCGUCAAGUUGGGUGGGUGAGAGGAUGUUUCUGGUGUUCAGAAAUUAUACCUAGUGAGAUUCGUUUUACUUGAAGACUCUUUCGCCAGAUUUUUUUAAAAAAAUUUUUAUCUUUAUUUUAUAGUAGAAUCUUGUGAACCAUCUUAUUGAGACUUUAAUUGCUCUAUAUUGUUAUUCUUUGUUCAGAGGAGCAGUAAAAUCUCUCCUGCACUUUGUUGUGAUAAAUAAUUUAUAGGCAUGUUGUUGUGUGAUGUAUUGUUGUAAUUUAACUUCGGUAGGGCCCUGUUUGGGACUUUUUUCAGGUUUUCCAUUUCAGUGGUAUUGAGCUAGCUCGAAACACAUGAUUUUUUUUUUUUUUUUUGGUCAAAUUUAAGAUAUUUGAAUCACUCUGAAUUUCACUGGGCUUUCCAAACUAGCAUCCUAUUUUUAGAGAAAGAAAGUUAAAGGGAGAGAGUCGAAUGGACAGGGGCCCAUUUGGUAGUGAUAGCUAUGCAAUGUUAUUGGGAGUUUUUUUUUUUUUUUUUUUUUUUUUUUUU